CGUUCGUGGCUUUGGUGUCUCCUGGGCUUGCAGGUGGUCCCCUUCCCACUGUGGCUUCACAUGGCCUUUCUUCUGCACGAGAGCAUCCUUGCUGUCUCUUCCUCUCCUUAUGAGGAUAUCAGUCCAAUCAGACAAGGGUCCCACCCUUAUGACACUGUUUAACCUUCAAUCUCCUGAAAGGUCCUGUCUCCAAAUACAGUGACAUUGAGGGUGAGGGCUUCAACCUAUGAAUUAGUGGAGAGGAGGCGCAACGGAGCCUGUAACAGUGCCCCGGCCGGUUUGUCUAGGCAGCUCACCCAGCCCGGGGAGCCCUGGAAGCAUUCUUUUCCCUACAUCCACUUGCAAGCUUCUACUUGACAUGUGUUUUCUCUCACCCUGUUAUCUUUCAGAAGAAGGGAAAAGAAAACAGAAACAGACAUGAAAGCAGAGUGGAAAUUCAGUCACCCAGGAUCCAGCUAGCAACACUCUUCAAUUACCUGGGAAUGGUUUCCCCAUCCUGCUCUGGGGAGAGAGAGGCGCUGACAAGAAAGGCUGACUCAUGCCAGAGGGCUUGUUUGAGAAAUGAAAGAGUUUGAAGGGUUCAUCCUGGGGCCAGAAGAGAAGCCGCGCAGCCCCCCGCACCUUGCACACCAUCCCUGGAUAACCAGGUGCUGCAUGCGGAAUGCAGGCUUGACAACUGCCCCCGCCGCCCCCAGGCUCCAUCUUGGGCCUGCAUGGGCUUCCCAAGGCACAGCCAAGAAUAACAGAGAAGGCAGAGAAGGAACUCUGGUUCCAACUCCAGAGCCAGCGCACACAGACGUCUCUGCACAGCACAGGGAAUGGGCGUUCAUCCUGAAACCAGUCCUCAGUGCAGAGCCUCCCACGGGUGAGAGACCAAGCCCAGCAAAUGGUUUUCAAAGUUCAACCAGACAAAGAUGAAACCACCCUGGAAGGUGUCACCCUUGAGCCUCCUCCUGCCAUGUGACCCUGAGGGGAAGUUCAGGGGCAGAGGGGAGACAUCUGGAUUUGGGGUUGGUAGGUUCCCACAACUGGACACUGACCUGGCUUACGCUCAGAUGCACAGGGCUGCAGUUGCCAGCUGUAAGUCCCAAGUCCCAGAAAAGGAAGAGAAGGUGCCUCAUGCAUGUUCAUUUCAUUCCUUCAGUCACCUGGCAAGCAUGAGGCCCGCACCUAGCAUUGGCAGGCCUAGGGCAGGAGCCCCCUGGAGGCCCAUAUAUAAAUCACACUAACAAACCACUCAAUAAAACAUGUUCUAUCCUCUGACCUUGACAAAUAUACUUC
rnacentral:lncRNA from 10 species